AAUUUUUUAUCAAUUUUCUUCAUUUUUACAAGAAACUAAUUUUUGGCAUUGCUUGAUUGUAUCUCCAUUUUAUUUACUCUUGCUGUUAUUUUUUUUCAUUUCAUUUUGUUCUAAUAAUUUUGGAAUUGCCACUCUUUUAACUUCUUGAGUUAAAAGCUUUGAAUAUUACCUUGGACCAUUUUCUUUUCAAGUGUAGCCAUAUAGCUGUAUUUUUUAGCUGUAUAUGUUACUCGACACCGUUGAUUGUGGCUGAUUGCCAAAAGUGAGAUUAACUCUCCACUCAAAACUGUGUGAUAAGUUGAGACUGGUGACAUGACAAUCACCAGUAGGCUGUGAAAAGAGUUAUUACCUAUAUAGGAGGAUUUUCUGGGUAAAGUAGGACAGGCUCAAGACAGUUUAGGUAACUUGAGGGAAGCAGAGAGAGUGAGUUAAUUUUUAGUAUGGCUAAGAGGUGGGAAUGGGAAGAUUUCAUGCCUGUGCAAAUGGGUCUGAGCUUCAGUGAUAUGAAUGUUCUGCUAGUACCAUGGAAGCAGAUUGUCUCUUCACUACAUUGAUCAUUUCCUUCGCUUUCAAGAAGCUGCUUUGCUUCAUGUGGAGUAAUGUGUAGAAGCAACUGAAAAGGAACAGAUGAUGAAUCAGUUUGAAUGUCUGGAAAAUCAUCUGAGCAAAUUCCAGCAAAAGCUGGAAGAUCCAGAGAGCAGAGGGAGAUAGCAUCCUGAAAUAGGGUAAAGGGAAAGGAAUCUGGAUGCUGAAAUGUGACUAUGCAUCUCUGAUGGAUGGUAGAAAGCAAUCUUCAGCCUGAGACCCAUUCCUAGCUAUUCGUUUCAUAUAUCCCUGAGACUGGUUGGAAAACUUCUCAUUCUCCAAGUAACUCUCUUACGAUGCAUAGAGUGCCUAGAAAACCCACACAAAAUUACUAUCCAUUCUACAGAGCACCAAUCUCAUGGAAUAGAAGUUUCCUUAAUGAUUUUGUCCUUCUCUGGGAACCUAUCUGUGAGUUCUAGAGAACUCACACCACAAAGAAAACUGUCUGCUCUGAAUAUGCCGGAUCCACUCAAUGCUGAAGUGUGUUCUCUGCUUCAUUGGCGGCCUGAUGAUUGCAGCACUCUCAUAACCAGUCUUCUGAUACCCAAGCUCUCAACUCUCAUCUCUCAUCACCUUACCAUCAGGAAACAUUCUGAAACAAGCAUCUGAAACACAUGAUUCUCAAUGCUUUAUGCUGGUUAAUGAUUCUUUAUUGUUUAAAAUAUUUAAGCAUGGUAUCAAAUGUUGCUCAAAAGCUGACCACUGUUUUGAUACCAGUACCAUGCUGUUUUGGUUACUGUAGCCUUGUAGUAUAGUUUGAAGUCAGGUAGCGUGAUGCCUCCAGCUUUGUUCUUUUGGCUUAGGAUUGACUUGGCAAUGCGGGCUCUUUUUUGAUUCCAUGUGAACUUUAAAGUAGUUUUUUCCAAUUCUGUGAAGAAAGUCAUUGGUAGCUUCAUGGGGAUGGCAUUGAAUCUAUAAAUUACCUUGGGCAGUGACCAAUGGAACAGAACAGAGCCCUCAGAAAUAAUACCACACAUCUACAACCAUCCGAUCUUUGACAAACCUGACAAAAACAAGAAAUGGGGAAAGGAUUCCUUAUUUAAUAAAUGGUGCUGAGAAAACUGGCUAGCCAUUAGGUAGAAAGCUGAAACUGGAAUGCUUCCCUACACCUUAUACAAAAAUUAAUUCAAGAUGGAUUAAAGACUUAAAUAUUAGACCUAAAACCAUAAAAACCCUAGAAGAAAACCUAGGCAAUACCAUUCAGGACAUAGGCAUGAGCAAGGACUUCAUGACUAAAACACCAAAAGCAAUGGCAACAAAAGCCAAAAUUGACAAAUGGGAUCUAAUUAAACUAAAGAGCUUCUACACAGCAAAAGAAACUACCAUCAUAGUGAACAGGCAACCUACAGAAUGGGAGAAAAUUGUUGCAAUCUGGAGUUUGAGACCAUCCUGGCCAACAUGGCAAAACCUUGUCUCUACUGACAAUACAAAAAGUAGCCAGGUGUGGUGGCACAUGCCUAUAAUCCCCAGCUACUCAGAAGGCUAAGGCAGGAGAAUCACUUGAACAGGGAGGUGGAGGUUGCAGUGAGCUGAGAUUCUGCCAUUGCACUCCAGCCUGGGCGACAAGAGCGAAACUCCGUUUCAAAAAUAAAAUAAAAUAAAAUAAAUUCUCACCAAUAAUCUAAUACCUGAAUUAGAUCUCACUGAACUAACUUCCUCAUUUUAGGAGCAGUACUUACCAUUGAGAUCCCCAAGUUACACAAGCAGUGAGUCCUAUUGUUGAUAUGUAAGCAUAGGUAUUUUGACUCCAAGUGGUGUCAAAAUUUUUUCGACUUUUUAGAAAAAGUAGAGGCUCACAGUGUCAGAACAAACUCGGCUGCUGAAUGUGAAUUCCUCCAAUUUGCCAUCCUUUCCUGCUGAACAAAGGAGGUAAUUCUGUACUAAGACUCUUCUUACUGAUAGAUGUGGUCCACAGUCUAUGGUCCUGACCUGGGACUUGCCAUGAACUUCUUGGCUUCCAGACCUUGCAGUUCAUAAGUAACAAAGGCCAGAGAUUUGUAGUAUUGUUGUGGGAGAAGGCAUCCUGAUUCUCAAUAAUAAUACAUUAGUUCUCAGUAAUAAUAAAUCGAUGGACAGUUGGGAACCAAAGAAUCCAGGGUUAGUGAUGAGAUACUAGAACAUUCAGCUAUUUUCAGGACAUAGUGAGUUCACUUGAGAGUUCUCUAUAGAGAAGUUUCAUACUCUUAUAACUAUCUGUCUUCAAAUGGAGAUCAGAUAAAAAGGGUAGGCAGAGUAACUUGCGAGGAAUGAAUAGCCUUUUUUCCCCUCUAUUUCUUUAGCUCAUAUAGAACUCUGAGUUGUCAAUCUUGCGUAUAUACAUCAUGCAAAAUCAACUUUGUUUCGGAGCUCCGUGGCAGAUUCUCAUUGUCUUUUUAUCAAGAAAAAUAAAACAUUUUGCUAUUAUAUUUACAAUAGCUAUGUUUCAAGCUUUUAUACUUUUUCUAUUCUAUUUUUCAUUUUUGCACUUCAGAGUGCAAAGGCAUGUUUCACAGCAUUGUAAAAAAAAAAUACAUAUCAUCUAAUUCCUCUAACUUCCCAUAUCUUGACUAAAACUCUGUGUAAGCAUAAGGUACCAUCUUACAUUGUCACUCUAUGUACUUCUGGCUCUGAACCAUCUUUCCUGUUCCUGAGAGAUACUCAGAAAAAUAAUAGGGCGUCUUCCAGAUGAUUAUGUGUCUGUGGGAAGCGGGUUAGGGAACACUAGACAUUGUUUGUAACCUCUAACAAUCCAUUAUUCAUAAGCAUGGGGUAUUUGAAGAGCUGUCUUUCAUGAUUAAGAGAUGUUUUCAUUUUAAUGGUCUCAUAUGUCCUCAUAAAUGCGUAGGCAGCACUUAUAUUCCAUCAUGACAGAGAUUUCUGGGCUAUAAAAAUACAUAUGGUUUUAUUUUGUCUAAUAGUUUUCAUCAUUGUCAAUAUUCUAUUUCAUAGCAUAAAGCUCCACAAUGUUAGGUAUUUGCAGCAGGAGGUCGAUUAAAUAUAUACACACCACUUUGACAUUCUUAUGUUCUCUUCUAAAACAAGACAAAAAGUAAAUGCAAAAAGAUAUAAAAGAGUGCAGGUAAAAAUGAAAGAACAAGCAGCGUGAGAUGAUUCCAAAGUUAAGUUUUAGAAAAGAUUUUUUUAAAAUAGCUCUUAUUUUAAUUCGUGAUUUAAAUAUAACAUGUUCAGUAUUUUACUUCUUAGAGAUGUAAUGAGAGUUAAAUUAGACUAUCUGAAAAGCACAUCAAAGUUUGUAUUUAACCCCUAUUAAAAAUACUAUUUCUUACUGAUAAUUUUUCAAUUUUGAUUUGUAACCUAACCUAAUAAAAAGACUGAUUUUAUUUUUAUGACUGCAAACAUACUAUUCAAAAAGACAAUGGCAUUCAUUUUGUGGAGUCUACAUUCUGUCAUACAGUGGUAUGCAAUAUUAUAGUGGGUAAAGAGAAUUCCAUUUUAGAGAGGCUUGGUUAUGUUUAUGAAAACUAUGCUCAUUCAGUGUACUGCUUUCAUACAUUUAAUUCCCAUGUAAAAUUCAUUAGGACACAUUAUGCUGUGAGAAACUUGGAAAGCAUAUUUUUCUGUUUUCGGUCCUGGAGCACAUUUGUCAUAAGUGCAUGCGUUGGACAUUUUCUAUUCCGUUUCACUUUUAUUUAUAAUUCUUACACAACCUUUUUGGAAGUGGCAUUGAGUUUCACAAUUUAGAUUGUUUAGUGGAAGUUCACUGGCUACAUUCCAAAAUCUAAUUACUUGGCUUAAUUGAAAAACUUUUAGAUUUGCGCUGGCUGGCAUUUUCUUACUCCAUAGAUAAUAGGUUAGUUUUUCUCCUCAAAGUAAACCUCCUUCCCAAACCAAGCACACACCUACAACACGUAGUUGAGCUGUGACUGCCUCCUGCUUAUAAUUACCAACAAAAUAGAGGAAAGUCACAGGUUCUCCCUUCCUGAAGUGUUGCUAAUAGAACAUCUCAAUCUUAGAAGGAAAAAAAUGUUUGCUAGAAUUUGGAACUAACAAAUUGUCAAGAUGCCAUAAUAUGAAAGUAAGUUUCCAUUUCACUUCAAAAUAUUUCAGCACUUUGUAAGUUUUGCUCAGAGUGAUGGGUUAAAAAUAUUUUCUAUAAACAAAUAUGGGACAUAGUCAUUUGACAUUUAAUAGAGCAUAUGCAAUUAUUUACAUUUCCUGAAAGAGAAAAUAGGAAAAACAACUUUCGGGGCAUAUACAGUAUUCCAUUGUCUUAAUCUAUUGUGUACUGCUGUAAAAAAAUACCACAGACUGAGUAAUUUAUAAUGAAAAUAAAUUUAUUUGGCUCAUAAUUCUGGAGGCUGAGAAGUCCAAGACUGAGGGUCUACAUCUGAUAAGGGCCGUCUUGCUCGGUCAUCCCAUGGCAGAAGAUGGAAAAGCAGAAGAGAACACGUAAGAGAACACAUGAGAGGGAGGAAGGGAAGGCCAAAUUUGAAAUGAUAACAAAUGCACUGUCAUGAUAAGAAACCUUGCCCUGCAAUAAUGACAUUACUCUAUUCAUAAUAACAGAGCUCUGGUAACCUAAUCACCUCUUAAAGGUCUCACCUCUCAACACUAUUACACUGGGGAUUAAGUUUCCAAUGCAUGGAUUCUGGGGGACGCAUUCAAACCACAGCAUCAAUGUUCUGUUGAAACUUUACAUUUUAGAAUAAAAGGAAAAUCUAAAUUUUUAUUUCUUACCAGAGUAUAUGAUAAUGGAGAAAAUUAUAAAAAUCAUAAUUAAUUAAACAGCUGCUUAAAUUCAACCCAUGAGUCUAUUAGAAUAAAAUAAAAUUUGUUGAGGACAUGUUAGUGCAUGGCUACCACUGGCAAUCAAUUUCACAUACUAUUUCUUUCUAAAUUUAUUGAGGUAUAUUUGACAAAUAAAACAUGUAUGUAUUUAAGCUGUACAACCUGAUGUCAUGAUAUAUGUAUGCACUAUAAACUGCUCACGAUCAAACUAAGUGAUAUAUCAAUCACCUCAAAUACCUUUUUAUUGGACUGAUAACACUUAAGAUCAACUCUCUUAGCACAUUUCAAGUAUACAAUACAUUGUUGUUAACUAGAGUCACAGUGCUAUAUGUUAGAUCUACAGAAAUUAUUGUUCUGUGUAACUAAAACUUUAUACCCUUUGAUUAACAUUUCCCCACUUCUCUCAGCCUCUGGGCUUUGGAAACCACUGUUCUACUCUCUGCAAUUAUGAGUUUGACUUUUUAAAACUUCACAUGUAAGAGAAAUCAUGCAGUAUUAGUUUUUGUGUGUCUGGCUUAUUCUACUUAAUAUAAUGUCUUCUAGGUUCAUCCAUGUUGUUGAAAAUGGCAGUAUUUCCUUCUUUUGAAUGCCGAAUAUUCCAUUCUCUGUGUGUGUGUGUGUGUGUGUGUGUGUGUGUGUGUGUGUGUGUAACAUGUUUUUAAUCCCCUCUUCCUACCAGGAACACUUAGAUUGGUUCCACAUUUUGGUUAUUUGUGAAUGAUGCUAUAGAGAAUAUGAGGAUACAGAUAUCUCUUUAGGAUACUGAUUUUAUUUCUUUUGCAUAUACGUCUAUAAGUGAAAUGGCUGGAUUAUGUGGUAGUUCUAUUUUUAAAAAAUUUUUGAGGCAUUUCCAUACUGCUUUUCACAAUGGCAACACCAAUUUAUAGUCCCACCAACAUUGUAAAAGGAUUACCUUGUUUCAACAUCCUAACCAAUGCUUCUCUUUUAUCUUUUUGAUAAUAGCUUUUCUAGCAGGUGUGAAGUAAUAUCUCAUUGUGGUUUUCAUUAACAUUUCCCUGAUGAUUAGUGAUUUGAGCACUUUUUGAUUUACCUGUUGUCCAUUUCUAUGUAUUCUUUUGGGAAACAUCUAUACAAAUCCCUAGCCCAUAUAUUAAUCAGGUUAUUUACUAUUUUGCUAUUGAGUUGUAUACAUUUUUGAUAUGCUUUGCAUAUUAACCCCUUAUCAGACACAUGGUUUACAAGUAUUUUCUCCCAUUCCAUAAGCUGAAUUUUCACUCUGCUGAUGAUUUUAUUUGCUGGGCAGAAGCUUUAUUAUUUGAUACAGUUUGACUUGUCUAUAUAUGCUAUGGGUAUUUGUUCUUUCUUUAGAGGUUAUAUCUAAAAAAUUAUUGCCCAGACAAAUAUCAAGAAACAUAUAGAAACUAUAUGUGCUUCUACUAGUUCUAUGGUUUCUGGUCUUAAGUUUAAUCUUUAAUCCAUGUUGAGUUGAUUUUAGAAUGUUUUAUAAGACUAUGUUCCAAUUUUAAACUUUUGCAUGAGGAGAUUCAGUUUUCUCAGCACUAUUUAUUGACAAGACUGUCCUUUCUCCAUUGUGUCUUCUUGGCAUCUUUGUUGAAGAUCAGUCGACAAGAAACACGGUUGUAUUUCUGGGCUGUUUGGUUUCAUUCAUCAAUCUCUCUUUUUGUUCCAUUACCAUACUUUUUUAAUGGCUCCAGCUUUGUGAUGCCUCCGUUUUUGGUCUUGUUGCUCAAAAUUGCUUAGCUAUUUGUGGUCUUCUGUGAUUCCAUAUGAAUUUUAAGAUUUUUUUUCUAUUUUUGUAAAGAAUUUUACUGAGAUUUUUGAUAGGGAUUGCAUCGAUUCUUCAGAUCACUUUGGGUAGUAUAGACAUUUUAAUAAUAUUAAAUCUUUCAACCCAAGAGUAUAGGAUGGCUUUCCAUUUGUCUGUAUAUUCUUUAAUUUUC
rnacentral:lncRNA from 1 species